UGUGGAUCCAGUACGGCCAUAAAAUACAUCGUGCCAACAUUUCAAAACUGCAGCUUGUGUCGAAAGGACUACGAGGUCGAUAUGCUGCCUGACCCGUUGAGCAUGUGGUGUCACAUUGGCAGGGAUAUGCACGGCAGAAUUUACUUGGCAUCUGAAUGUUGCUUUACCAGACCAAUGAAUGCCUGAGGCUGCCAAUGUGCCAGAGAAUCUGCAGCAUCUGUGUUCUCAAGAAAUGACCCGAGCAUCAAACAAAAGGCUUGAGACAAAAUGAUGAAAA